AGUUAUUAAUCUGGGAUAUGUCUUGUCUUGAAAACAAAACAAAAGUGUUCGAUUCACUUGAUAGCUU
rnacentral:tRNA from 1 species